GACGAACGCUGGCGGCGUGCUUAACACAUGCAAGUCGAGCGGUAAGGCCCUUUCGGGGGUACACGAGCGGCGAACGGGUGAGUAACACGUGGGUGACCUGCCCUUAGCUCUGGGAUAGCCUGGGAACUAGGUCUAAUACCGGAUAUGACUCCAUAACGCAUGUUGUGGGGUGGAAAGCCUUGUGCGGCUAGGGAUGGGCCCGCGGCCUAUCAGCUUGUUGGUGGGGUGAUGGCCACCAAGGCGACGAC
rnacentral:rRNA from 1 species